rnacentral:tRNA from 1 species
CAGAGUAUAGCUUAACACAGGAAAGCACCCCUUUUACACUGAGAAGACAUCCGUGCAAACCGGAUUACUCUGA